rnacentral:rRNA from 1 species
AGAGUUUGAUCAUGGCUCAGAUUGAACGCUGGCGNCAGNCCUAACACAUGCAAGUCGAGCGGUAGCACAAGAGAGCUUGCUCUCUGGGUGACGAGCGGCGGACGGGUGAGUAAUGUCUGGGAAACUGCCUGAUGGAGGGGGAUAACUACUGGAAACGGUAGCUAAUACCGCAUAACGUCUUCGGACCAAAGUGGGGGACCUUCGGGCCUCACGCCAUCAGAUGUGCCCAGAUGGGAUUAGCUAGUAGGUGGGGUAAUGGCUCACCUAGGCGACGAUCCCUAGCUGGUCUGAGAGGAUGACCAGCCACACUGGAACUGAGACACGGUCCAGACUCCUACGGGAGGCAGCAGUGGGGAAUAUUGCACAAUGGGCGCAAGCCUGAUGCAGCCAUGCCGCGUGUGUGAAGAAGGCCUUCGGGUUGUAAAGCACUUUCAGCGAGGAGGAAGGGUAGUGUGUUAAUAGCACAUUGCAUUGACGUUACUCGCAGAAGAAGCACCGGCUAACUCCGUGCCAGCAGCCGCGGUAAUACGGAGGGUGCAAGCGUUAAUCGGAAUUACUGGGCGUAAAGCGCACGCAGGCGGUUUGUUAAGUCAGAUGUGAAAUCCCCGCGCUUAACGUGGGAACUGCAUUUGAAACUGGCAAGCUAGAGUCUUGUAGAGGGGGGUAGAAUUCCAGGUGUAGCGGUGAAAUGCGUAGAGAUCUGGAGGAAUACCGGUGGCGAAGGCGGCCCCCUGGACAAAGACUGACGCUCANNUGCGAAAGCGUGGGGAGCAAACAGGA